GACGAACGCUGGCGGCGUGCCUAAUACAUGCAAGUAGAACGCUGAAGGAGGAGCUUGCUCUUCUGGAUGAGUUGCGAACGGGUGAGUAACGCGUAGGUAACCUGCCUGGUAGCGGGGGAUAACUAUUGGAAACGAUAGCUAAUACCGCAUAAGAGUAGAUGUUGCAUGACAUUUGCUUAAAAGGUGCAAUUGCAUCACUACCAGAUGGACCUGCGUUGUAUUAGCUAGUUGGUGGGGUAACGGCUCACCAAGGCGACGAUACAUAGCCGACCUGAGAGGGGGGUCGGCCACACUGGGACUGGGACACGGCCCAGACUCCUACGGGGAGCAGCAGUAGGGGAUCUUCGGCAAUGGGCGGAAGUCUGACCGAGCAACGCCGCGUGAGUGGAGAAAGUUUUCGGAUCGUAAAACUCUGUUGUAAGAGAAGAACGAGUGUGAGAGUGGAAAGUUCACGCUGUGACGGUAUCUUACCAGAAAGGGACGGCUAACUACGUG
rnacentral:rRNA from 1 species